AUUUAAAUAGUUUAAUUAAAAAUAUUGAUUUGUGAAAUCAAUGAUAUAAAUUUUUAUUUAUUUUAAAUU
rnacentral:tRNA from 1 species